GACGAACGCUGGCGGCGUGCUUAACACAUGCAAGUCGAACGGAAAGGCCCUGCUUUUGUGGGGUGCUCGAGUGGCGAACGGGUGAGUAACACGUGAGUAACCUGCCCUUGACUUUGGGAUAACUUAAGGAAAAUGGGGCUAAUACCGGAUAGGAGCUCCUGUUGCUUGGCGGGGGUUGGAAAGUUUCGGCGGUUGGGGAUGGACUCGCGGCUGAUCAGCUUGUUGGUGGGGUAGUGGCUUACCAAGGCUUUGACGGGUAGCCGGCCUGAGAGGGUGACCGGCCACAUUGGGCCUGAGAUACGGCCCAGACUCCUACGGGAGGCAGCAGUGGGGAAUAUUGCACAAUGGGCGGAAGCCUGAUGCAGCAACGCCGCGUGCGGGAUGACGGCCUUCGGGUUGUAAACCUCUUUCGCCUGUGCCGAAGCGUGAGUGGCGGUAAUGGGUAAAGCAGCACCGGCUAACUACGUG
rnacentral:rRNA from 1 species